CAGUCGCCGCGGUAAUACGAAGGGUGCAAGCGUUACUCGGAAUUACUGGGCGUAAAGCGUGCGUAGGUGGUGGUUUAAGUCCGUUGUGAAAGCCCUGGGCUCAACCUGGGAAUUGCAGUGGAUACUGGGUCACUAGAGUGUGGUAGAGGAUAGCGGAAUUUCCGGUGUAGCAGUGAAAUGCGUAGAGAUCGGAAGGAACAUCUGUGGCGAAGGCGACUAUCUGGGCCAACACUGACACUGAGGCACGAAAGCGUGGGGAGCAAACAGGAUUAGAUACCCCCGUAGUCCCUGUCUCUUAUAC
rnacentral:rRNA from 1 species